GGGAGAUACUGUAUCAGAAGUUUUUUUUUCAGCCAGCGACCACUGGAAGUAAUACAGUUGACAUUACCAUUACGGUCAACUGUGUGAACUUGUUAACCUGAAUAGGAAGCUGCUUAGACCACCGGAAUCGAGCCAGCCGAGUCGCCGGACCCACGCUGGCGCAGCUCCAACGACCCGGGCCGGCGAGACUCCGACAGUCCAGCCAGAAGGCCAAACUCCGCGCGUUCAUUCAGGUCAACAGCGAUGAAAACAGCAAGGCGAAACAGAAACACUCAGGAGGGGAGGCAACGUCACCCUAUCACACGUCAACAAAAGGUCCAAGUUGAAAAUCAUCAGGUGUGAAUGGGAACUUUUUUGUGGGAAUUGAAUAUGCCUUUUGAAAUGUAUGGGGAUGUUAUGUUCAAUGUUGGCG